GUGAGGAAUAUUGGUCAAUGGACGAGAGUCUGAACCAGCCAAGUCGCGUGAAGGAAGACGGUUCUAUGAAUUGUAAACUUCUUUUGUGCAGGAAUAAAGUGGGUUACGUGUAACCUUUUGUAUGUACUGUACGAAUAAGGAUCGGCUUACUCCGUGCCAGCAGCCGGGGUAAUACGGAGGGUCCGAGCGUUAUCCGGAUUUAUUGGGUUUAAAGGGGGCGGAGGUGGAUUGAUAAGUCAGCGGUGAAAGUUUGCAGCUUAACUGUAAAAUUGCCGUUGAAACUGUCGGUCUUUAGUGCAAAUGAGGUAGGCGGAAUGUGUUGUGUAGCGGUGAAAUGCUUAGAUAUAACACAGAACUCCGAUUGCGAAGGCAGCUUACUGGGAUGCAACUGACACUGAUGCACGAAAGCGUGGGUAUCAAACAGGAUUAGAAACCCGAGUAGUCU
rnacentral:rRNA from 1 species